GGGGAAAAUUGGGCUUUCUCCAAAACCUGCUGUUGGCAGGGUUGAUCCUUUAAUGAUAAAUGUAGUUAUUUGCUGAAUUUUCAGGGGUCAGGAGCGCAUCUGUUACGACAUUUGUCCUUACACAGAGAGUCAGUGUAGGCAACUGAAUCCCUUACAUGACAUUAUCACAUUUUUGUGGUCUGAAAGGCUCCUUAAAUAUUAAACCAUUUCUAUGGAUUUCAAUUUGAAGCAGAUUCCAAGCAAUACUGGCUGGAAAUGAAAAUUACUCUUUACCCUUCCUUUUUCUUCUUCUUUUUUUUAAUAAUCAAAGAAUUCAAGAGUAGAAAAGGUUACCACAUCCUUUUCUCAGCAAGAGUGGACUCCCUUUUUUCUGGAUUGUUCUUUAUUUGUUAAUGGAAAUUCUGGGGGAAAAAAAAAUCAUCUUCAUUAUUCAUCUUCAGUUUACUUGUAGAAAUAAAAAAGCCUAGUCUUACUUUAAGUUUCCUCUUUCAGUAAUGUAAAUGUUUCAGUGAUGUAAAACUCCAUUGUAUGAUGAUAGAUUUGAUAAAUCAAAAGGAUGAGCUGUGAUGAUGUUCAUUGCAUGACUAGCAAUUGGAAAGUAGAUACUAACAUUGUAUUCAAAGACCAGAAAUACAAUUCUGAAUUUUCUGUUAAUCCAGAAAGAAGUAAAGUAACUGCCAUUGUGCCAUCAGACCAGGCGUCAGUAUCAGAUACAGGGAGAUGGAAUAAUGCACCUUACUGUCAGAAGGAAGAAAGAAUCUUUGAAAUCUUAUUUGAGGAGGUAGUCAUCCUGCAUGCAGAUCACAGGAUUAGAGGUAUGCAGGGAGUAUGCUGAGCAAAAGACCCUGAAUGAAGGCUGCUACAAAGCUGCUGUGGAUAUACUGCAUUGGUUUCAGUCAGCUUUGCACAGAGGCAAAACUGUCCCCUCAUGUUCAAUAACUGGUUAAAUAACGGGAACACUUUUUUAUUUCCUUACAGAGCCCAUUAGCAAAAAUUUAGAUGCAGACUCCACCUCUGAGUUUGGAGUCUGCCUGAUUAAAGUCAUUUCUCCUCCCUUUCUGCUAACAAUCAGCAAUUGUUUGACACUCCUGUAACACUUCUUUAAUAAAGCCACUGGUAAUAACAGCACAUUUACCAAAAGAUUAAUGUAAAAUUCUCCCUGAAUUAUUGAAUUUACUGUUACUUGGGGUGUCUUCUGUUAUAAGUGGAAAUUGCAAGGAGACACUCUAUUAGUACCCUGCCAAUGUGUGUGUCAGUCGCAACACCCUUUAGAAUAACUGGGAGAAAUUGACUGUGCAUUCUUCCAUACAAUAACAAGACAUUAUUACAACAUAACAAUGUUUGUCAGAUUAAUUUGAAAGCAGAAUUUGUUGUGAUUUAAACCAUGAAAAGAAAAUGAGUUCUGAAAAUACUUCUUUAUACUUGUUUCUUCUAACAGCCUAAUUUCUUGGGAGGACUUUCUAAUCAAUGUAAUCUGGUGUGACUUCAUUAACUCACCAUUUCAAGAAGAUAGUCCGAUAUAUUUUCUUGAUCAGUAGCAGUAGAUAAAAAUACUAAACUUCUCUUUCUUUAACUGCAACACCAACGACAAGCAUGUGAAUUUAAAUACAGUAAUACAAACGCCAGCAUAUUGCAGGUUAACAGUGUGUAGUCCAGAAACAAACAAAAAAGAAACUUAAUAUUCCAGGACAAAACAGUUACACUUACUUUGUAUAAAAAGCCAUAAUAACCUUGUUAGCAAUGACUUUGUGCAGUUCAUGUGAGAAUAUCUAAGAUUAAAAAGCAAUACUGACUAAAGCUAUGUAAAAAUCCUUGGCAAAAGCUGUUAUCGACCUAAUCAUUCAAAUAAAGUAGCAAAUUUAUACCCUUUUACAAACUGCAUUCCUGGGAGUUUUCUGUGGUUUAGAAGACCAUCCAGUAUGCUGUA